AAGCAGAGGCAGGUGGAUUUCUGAGUUUGAGGACAGCCAGGGAUACACAGAGAAACCCUGUCUGGAAAAAACAAAACAAAACAAAACAAAACAAAAAAGUAAACUUGUACUUGUAGAAGCCAUAAAACACAAAAGUUCUAUAUAUAAAAUACCAAGCAUGGUAGCAAACACAUGUAAUCCCAGCACUUGGGAGGCAAAGACAAGUGGAUCUCUGUGAAUUCAAGGCUAACCUCGUCUACGGGUGAGUGAGUUCCAAUCAGUCAGGGCUACAUAGUGAGAACCUCUCUCAAAAGGAAUUAAUUAAUUAACUAAUUAAUUAAUUAAAUGGCAAACUGUGUGUACCCAAGUACAGUCUCUUGUAUGCUUCAUUGAUUGACAUUUCUGGUGAAGCUGGAGAUGCCCAAGGCCUCAUACAUGCCAGGCAAGGAUAGUACCACUGAUGUACAUCCAGUCUCCUCCUGUACGCCUUAAGGAAUAAUAGCUAAUUUAUUGUAAAUACUAUGUAAAUAGUUAUGAUAAUUACGAGAUAAUGGCCCUCACCAAAAAAGGGGGUCAGGGGAAGACUUUGCUCAAUACAUAGGUUUUUUUCUCCUUGGCUGGUUGAAUUAUAUAGAACCUUAAAUGUGAAGGACAAGCCAUAAGCCGUGUAUCUAUAGUGCCUGCCCAGGAACUGUCUUUGGUCCUGUGAAUGAAAGACACACACACACACACACACACAUUAUUAGCUUAUUUUAACAUGCCUUACUAGCUCAGUGGCUGGGCACUUCUAAGUCUUCCUUAGCAUACCCUUCCUUCCAGUACUCCUGGCUCAACACCUUCUAAAUCUACUUUUAACUUUGCUGCCCUGUUUCCUUCUGUGAAGCCCAUUGGUCUUUGCUGCCCAAGAUGCUUCUGGGCAGCCCUUCCAGGGCUGCUUUCCCUUUCCUCCUACAUUUCAGAUAACCUCCUUUCUGCAGCUCUAACUGUCCGUCUCUCUUCAUUGCCUCCUCCUCCUCUCCCUCUUCUUCCUCCUCCACCACACAGCUGCUACUUUUUUCUUUAACAGUACACAGAACCUAUCCCAGAUCACUACAUAUAAUUUUAACAUUAGUUUCAAAUGGAUGUAUGAUAUUCCAUGGUAGAGACCCUUUUAUAGUAUUGACAUACUUUAAUAAACUAUCUUUGUUUUCUUUUUUAAGAUUUUAUUUAUUGUACAUAUAUGAGUACACUAGUGUGUCAGACACCAGAAGAUGGCAUCAGAUCCCAUUACAGAUGAAUAAACCAUCUUUUAAUGAACUUUCAAGCUAUUUCUUGGGGUUUGUUUUGGUUUUUUGUUGUUGUUGUUGUUGUUUUGUUUUGUUUUCCUCCUGUUAACACGUAAGACUUCAGCAAACAUCAAAGCAAUAUCAUUAGGUUGUUUUUAGAAAGGUUGACUUGGAAAAUAAUGUCAUCUAAAGCUAAAAUUGAAGUACAUAGAAAUGGCUUUAAUUUGUUUUAAAUUUUUCUUUUAGUCAUCAGGUCAUUUGAUGUCAACAAACCUGGCUGUGAAGUCGAUGACCUUAAGGGAGGUGUAGCUGGUGGUAGUAUCCUAAAAGGAGUGUUAAAGGUAAAUUGGAUUUGACUUGUUACUCUGUAUAUUUGGUUAUUGUGUGUAAGUGCCACAGUAUAUAUAGGUAAGACAGCUUUUCAGGGGUUGACUCUCUUUCCAUCUAGUGUGUCUCUGGGAUUGAACUCAUGCUAUCAGGUUUGAUGGUAAGAUAAGCACCUUUAUCCUCUGGGCCAGUUCAUCAGACCACCCUUAUCUUAAUCUGCCUUCCAAGUGCUGGGGCUAAAGGAAUGCACCACUAUGCCCAGUGAAAAAUGUUUUUUCCAUGGUGUCUGGUAUUGGAUAUGGAUUUGGUUUUGUCUUUGGAAGAUGUGUGAUCUCUAAAACUAUAGUUUUCCAGUGAACAUGGAACAUAUUUUAUGUGACAACAGGUUUAUUUGGUACUUUGUAACACUUAGAUGGGACUGAUUUUAAAUUUUUCUUUUAGAUUUGUUUAUUUCAUAGAUAUGGGUGGUGGUUGUCUCCAUCUUUCCAAGGAGGCCAGAAGAGGGUAUUGAAUCCCCUGGAACUUAGAGAUGGUUAUGAGUUGUGAGCUGCUGUGUGGGUACUAAGAACUGAUCUCUGGUCUUGUGCGAGAGCAGCAGUGCUCUUGAACUGUAGAGCCAUCUGGCUCCUCCAUGCCAGUUUU
rnacentral:lncRNA from 1 species